rnacentral:tRNA from 1 species
GCAGACGUAGCUGGAAGGUCGAGCACCUGAGUGCCACUCAGGAGAUUCGGUUUCGAUUACCGACGUCCGCACCA